AGCAAACCACGCUAUCUUCCAAAAUCUUCUUUCCCACCCUUCCCUUUCCUCUUCCCUUUCCUGUUUCUGACAAAGGAGAGCAGUGCCUUGGGUGCAGCAUGCCAGGAGUCAGUGCAACACAAAGGUGCUGCAUCCGUCACAGCCUUUCUCCAGGGGCCGCCAAAGGCAGGAGCACAGCAGAGCACCAUUCCUCUGACAGCACAGUGACUCCUUUUGCGUACUCCUGUGCAAACACAUGUGCAACACCUUCCUUGCACUCCCCACAUGCAUGGCCACACCUGUGCCACCCUGUCCUUGCACACACACUGACAUGCACAUGCAACCCCUCCUGUUUGUUCACCUGUGCACACUCACAUGUGUGCAACUCCAUCCUUGCACUCAACCACGUGCACACAGACACAUGUGCAACACCACCUUUUUGGAUACCCCUGUGCACACACAUGUGCAACCUCAUCCUUGCAAACCCCACGUGCACAUGAACCCUGAUGCCACAGCACACAUUCGCCCAGCCACAUGCACAAGCACCUCUGUCUGCUACCUUGCCCCUUUGCGCACCCUCCUCCCUGCCCUCCCCCAUUUGCAUGCACAUGUGUGUCCCCCCUGUAUGGGAAAGGCUGAGUCAUGGCCUGAACCACUGAUUGAGCACCUGGAGGAAAGACCCAGUCAGCCCUGAGAGCACAGGUGAAGGCAAUUCACCUGUGUGACCAGAAGGGCUGGAGCCUGGCUUAGGCUCCACCCCUUCCUCAUUCCCACCCUCUUAGGCCUCAUUUAAGGGCUGACUGCCACUAAGGAAGGAUCUCUUUUUGGAGAUCCCUCCUUGGUGGGAGCUUUUCCCUGUGAAUGCUAAAUCUUCUGAUCCAGGUGAGCGAUCUAUUUCCCUUCCCUUAUUGCACCUUGCUAUUGUGCUGGUCCUUCCACCUCUUUGUAACACCUUUUCCAUCACAUUGGUCCUUCUGAUAGCUACAUUUGGUGAGCCAGGCAGACCAAAAUAUUAAAAUGGCUUUCCUUUUGAAUAUCUUUAAGUGGGCCAAGGGGGAGAACAUCGUCCCUCUAGAUAAGACCUUGCUGGGGCACAUCCCAGGAUUUCUGGGUUCACCCUCUUAUGAACUGGCAGCCAUAAUGGAAAACUGGGGCUCCUUGUGGGAUAGUGGAAGUAUUUCCCAAUCACCAUCUGGCAUGGUGAAAUAUUUCUAUGGAUUAGAUAAAAAAUAUCCUAAUUACAAAGGAAUGCCAACUGCCUGCGUCCACUGUUGCAUGGCCCCUGUUAAUAGCUCUAAAUUGCGCAGAACUUUCAAGUAAUACUUCAGAAAAUGAGAACCAACUACUGCGUGAUCGUAUUGAAAAACUUGAGCAAGAGCUUGGCCUACUGACAGGGAAAAAGUCAAGUUUAACUUCCCCUUAAAGCAAAUACGGAAUAUUGCAUUGGAAAAUACUCAGAGCCCUGAACCAGUAGACCUGGGUAAUCCAACAGGAAAAAUCUCAAGAUCGGAUCUCGAAGGGGUGCCCCCUGAUCAAUGGCCCCCUGCCCAAACCCAUCUCCAUGUAACAGCUCACCCUAUACGGCGUCUGAAUCAAUGGAUUUGGUGCAACGAUUUUGGCAGAAACCAAGGGAAAGUGUUAACCCUCCAGGUGACUCAAUCAUUGGUUCAUGCCAUGAAGGGGUAGAUGUAUGGGAACUGCUGAAUCAUGGCCUGAACCACUGAUUGAACACCUGGAGGAAAGACCCAGUCAGCCAUGGGAGCACAGGUGAAAGCAAUUCACCUGUGUGACUGGAAUCCCUCUUAGGCCUGAUUUAAGGGCUGAUUGCCACUGAGGAAGGAACUCUUUCUGGAGAACCCUUCUUUGGUGGGAGCCUUUCCCUGUGAACCCUAAAUCUUCUGAUCCGGGUGAGUGAUCUAUUUCCCUUCCUUUGUCGCACCUUGCUAUUGUGCCAGUCCUUCCACCUCAUUGUAAUGCUAUUUCCAUCGUGUUGGUCCUUCUGAUCGCUACACCCCCUCACCUCAAUUUCCCCACGCCUCCUCAUUCUCACACCCCCACCCCUAUCAAUUGCCCAUACAGAAAGCUGGAUGUAUUUCGCGAACAGUUCUUGUAACCAGUUGAUUUCGGGACAUUGCCCUCCUGAAGAGUCUAAACUGCAUGACAGAAAAAAGCUGGGAAAAUGCUUAUUCCUCAUUAUUUUUCACUUGCUGAUUCUUUCUUCAGGGUUUCUUUCCAAAAGAAGAUUUUGGGGAUCAAGGCAAUCAAAGAAAGAGUGAAGCCAGCUCUUUCCACGAGCUGGGAAGUCCCUGUGGAGAGAACUCAAGAACUUGGGUUCCUCUGAGACAUUCCCCACCAUCUCUCAGCAAGGAGACAACUGCUGUUCGCAUUUCUGCUCUGCGUGUAGAAAGGUAUGGCUGCAUUUCUUUUGCAUGGGUUUUCUUCCUUCUUCUCAUUGUUAAGGGGAAGGAGUGGAGCAGGGGGAGACCCACUGGUCAUUUGUCACCUCAAUAACUGGUUGGAUUCUACACUCACUGCUAACAACCUGGGCAAUAGCAUGGGCAUGUUUCAGGCUGGACUCUUAUUUUCCUGCUUGGUUUUCCUUUUGGCUCCAGGGAGACAGCUGUCUAAAGGCAUGUUUUCAAACCCAAUCUACAAAACCACGUUUCAUUGCUGCGGGUGGUUCAAAUAUGCUCUUGCAGGCCAGAUGCAUUUGCUGUGAAAUCUUAGUGGUUUCUGUUUCUAGGGCAGGACUGUGAGGAGGUAGAGGGAAGUGAACGCAAUGCCUUAGGUGUAUCUUAGUGAGAAAUGUUGGCAAUAGGUGCUGAAAGUCUUUUCUCUACAGCUGCAAAAGGAUAGCAUGGCUCAGACUCUUCAACCUGCUGGAGCAGGGUGGUAGGAAGCAGUGGGCACUGCCCUCCUGCGAGCUGCACUUGGUUAUGGUCUGCCAGGUCUCCGCUGCCCUGGAUUUCUUCUGAGAAGUUUGUUCUAGCUGCUUGGAGUAGUGAAGUGUGGGGAGGAAGUGGUGGUCAAGACCUAAGACUUGGCACGAUAAUUUUGGAUGGAUGUAACUGUGGCAUCUGAAGAUAUUGUUUCCCUCAGAAUAAUCCCAGCAUUGUGCAGAUGUCUCAGCUGAGCCCCCUGAGCUGAUGUCUGAGAGCGCCUGCCUCCUCCAACUGAGCGACAGGAAAGUUAAAUGUGCCCAGUGAUUACAGCUUAUGCAGAUGUGGUGAAUAUGCUCCCAAAUGUGUCCUUUAGCGAUACAUAAUAUCUCAGCACUCUGGUAUCCUAUCUCUGGCAUGAUCUGGAGCCCCUCUGCAAACCUUGGGUGCCUGUUCCCACCAACGUUUCUUCCUUUCUCUCUUCGGAAGCAGUGCGGUGUGGUUCCCCAUGUUUGGGAACAGCAGCCAGCAGGCUGCAACAGAUCCAGCUGCCUCUUUUCAGUGCACAGAGGGACACAGUGGAGAUGGACCAUCCUUACCACCACACUAAAGUGAGUUUCUUCAGUCCUCUGUCACAAAGUAUGAAAGAAUGAAUUUUGAAUGUUACUUCUGAGCGGGCGCAGUGCUGUAGGGGAUGUCAGGUGACCAUUCAUUUGGGAGUGCAGGAAAGAGCAGUGAAAAGUUACAUAUUAGUUUGCUUUGGCUGUCAAAGCGGUGUAUUUUUGGGAGGGAAGCAUGGGCAAGAUGGAAAACAGGAGGAGGAAGACUAGUACCUGGUUAGCAGUCUGAGCUUUGGUGACUGCAGCAAUUUGCAGUGGAAGUGACAUUUGUUUUGCACAGUGGGGUUCAGAAUGGCAGCUGAUAGUGAGUGGGAGCUCCUUGAGGGGACAGACUUCUAUGGUUGGCUGGGGGCAUCGAGCUGCUUUAGCAUGCAGCCUCUGCUCUUGCACUCAGCCAGCAGGUAUUCCUGAUGGGAAUUCUGAGAGCAAGUCAGAGGCCGAGCAAUUUCUGUGCGAUGGCCAUUGUAUGUUUGGCAGUAAUGACGAUCAAUGGUUUCUGGUUCUGUUUUGGUUGGAGGUGGCUGCGGUGGCUAAUGACAAAAGAAAUGUCACUAUGCAACUAGAGAAACAAGUGAGCAAACAGGAGGGAACGAGAGGAAAGAGGUGCUGACAGCGGUGCUGUAGAAAAAGCCAUUGUGGAAGCAUUAGAGGGCAACAGGUGCAGUUGAUAGCAGCAGUGUGAUGCGAGUCUGUGUGUAAACGGUGGUGCUUAGAGCUGAGUGCAUUCCUUUGAGAGGCAAAAAAUGCUUCUCAGCUUCUGCAGUGGAUAGCAUUUUGUUUGCUGAUGCACCUUUGCAGAAUGUAGAGCUGUCAGACAGACUGGUGUUCAUUUGCUGCCAUCUGAACAGGAAUGAAACUUGUAAUGCUUUUUGUAAGCACAUUGCAGUUUGAACAUCAGUUCCUGUUUUGGCUGUAAAACCAGUGUCUUUUUUUUUUUUGCAGGGGGACAUGGGCUAACAGGACAAUACUGCUACUGGUGUCCGUGAAAUCAACACACGAUCUGUUGUUUUAGGGACAGAGCCUGUGCAUCCAUUGAAUUGUGCCAGGCAACGGGGGAAACAGAAAGCCUGCACAGAAGCUGAUGCAAGCAGUCUUCCAGCAGAGUGCAGCCUUGAAGAAAGGUAGCGGAGGAGCACGGAGCGUGGCAUGGCACCAAAGAGAGAGAGAGGUGCUGAGCCAAAUCGCUUUCACAUAGCUCUUGCCGUAAAUUAAGUCCGUUCUGAGGGAGCUCGUGUCCAGGCUGGAGGGCUUCCUGGAAGAGCAGGUCCCAGCACAGGAGGAAGACCUUCCCCUGCAGUUGACAUCCACUCUUGCUGCGGAGACCAGUCUCGGAGCAGCGAGAAGAAAAAGACAGAAAGAGGAGAGCGGAAAUUGAGAAGGCUUCUCUCAGAGCUGCCACUGCACAUGCAGAGUCCUCCACAGUGAACAGCCUUGUGGAGAUGCAGCAAAAGCUGCAGGAUGCAGAGGAGGAGCAGCAGAAGGCAGCAGCUGCACCCCUUUCUUUCCCCCUUACCCCUGCAGCAGCCCACUGUUCUGCUGCUAUUGUCACCUGAC